GUAUGAGAUGAUGGCAUACCAUCUUUCGGGACUGACGAAUUAUGGAGACCAUUUUUUUCUGCUGAUCAUUC